AUGAGUCUCUUCCAACAGAGAGUAGUUAUGAGGGAGAUACCUCUAUAUGUUUUGCUUGGUCAUCUUCUCAUAGCUGCAGUUGGCUCUGUCUGCCUUCCCGUCCAGUGCCUGAAAUGUAAUGUCACAGGACAAAUUCGGGCAGGACCGUGCGUCAAUGUGACUCAAUCCAACUGCACCAAAGACUUUAAGGUCUCUGUCAUCAGCAAUGGAUCUGAGGUAAAUGCGGGUGAAAAAAUCACUCUAACAUGUGACCAUAACCUUCGCAAUCUCAGUCUGAUGUUUGAAUGGACAAGGGAUGAGAAGAAAAUUAAGGAACGCGGAAAUGGAAGCAAGCUGGUUCUCCAAAAAGUGACAUUGCGUCACUCAGGCAAAUAUUCCUGCUCUGUGAAGAGCAUUUGUGGCAAUUAUACGUCUCCGCCACACGGUGUCACUGUAAACGACAACAGUGUGGUGCUCUUGGUGGUUUGUGGUGUUGCUGCUCUGGUCCUGAUUGUGAUUAUGGGGAUAGCUAUGAAGUUAAAGCUGAAAAGAGACAACGCUAAACACAAAGAGAGGAUGAAGCAGAGAGCACAGGCUGCGCAGAGUAGCAGUCCAGCUCCAAUCACACCAAGAGAAUCCUAA
rnacentral:lncRNA from 1 species